CAGCACAGAAACAAAAGCCAGUUGUCAUGAUAGUAUAUGUAGAGUUUUCUGUUCAAAAUGUCCAUUUCCAAAAUAGCAACUUUAUGCAUUGGCCUUUACUUAAAUCAGUCCGGCGUUGAUUUACUUCCUUAGUGAAAAGGAGAAAAAGUUGGACUGCAGGAGAGAACUGGAGUACCCAGAGAAAACACGGAGGAAGCAGGGGAAGACUGGAGCAGGGCCCAGAUACGAACACAUGGCCCAGAAACAAGAGUCCCAAUGCUGGCUGUAUGUUAUAGAAUACAUCUGAUCACUGCAGAUGUAGCAGCGUUAAAGACAAAAUCCUUUUUGAAAAUUCUUUUCCCUUGAACUCCUGUAAUCAUU